CGCGGCCUAUCAGCUUGUUGGUGGGGUAACGGCCCACCAAGGCCGAGACGGGUAGCUGGUCUGAGAGGACGACCAGCCACACUGGGACUGAGACACGGCCCAGACUCCUACGGGAGGCAGCAGCAGGGAAUCUUGCGCAAUGGGCGAAAGCCUGACGCAGCGACGCCGCGUGGGGGAUGAAGGCCCUCGGGUUGUAAACCCCUUUCAGGAGGGACGAAGCGAAAGUGACGGUACCUCCAGAAGAAGCCCCGGCCAACUACGUGCCAGCAGCCGCGGUAAUACGUAGGGGGCGAGCGUUGUCCGGAUUUAUUGGGCGUAAAGAGCUCGUAGGCGGCUCAGCAAGUCGGCCGUGAAAACCCAGGGCUCAACCCUGGGAUGCCGGUCGAUACUGCUGUGGCUAGGGUCCGGUAGAGGAGCGUGGAAUUCCCGGUGUAGCGGUGAAAUGCGCAGAUAUCGGGAGGAACACCAGUAGCGAAGGCGGCGCUCUGGGCCGGCACCGACGCUGAGGAGCGAAAGCUAGGGGAGUAAACAGGAUUAGAUACCCUGGUAGUCCUAGCCGUAAACGUUGGGCACUAGGUGUGGCGGAUGCAUUCACGUCUGCUGCGCCGUAGCUAACGCAUUAAGUGCCCCGCCUGGGGAGUACGG
rnacentral:rRNA from 1 species